UAACCAAGGUUGUAUAUGGUCUAGUGUG
rnacentral:piRNA from 1 species